UACAGAGGGGGCAAGCGUUAUUCGGAAUUAUUGGGCGUAAAGGGCGCGUAGGCGGCUUUGCAAGUGACGGGUGAAAUCCCUCGGCUUAACCGAGGAACUGCCUGUCAGACUGCAUGGCUUGAGACCGGGAGAGGUGAGUGGAAUUCCCAGUGUAGCGGUGAAAUGCGUAGAUAUUGGGAGGAACACCAGUGGCGAAGGGCGGCUCACUGGACCGGUACUGACGCUGAGGCGCGAAAGCGUGGGUAGCAAACAGG
rnacentral:rRNA from 1 species